rnacentral:rRNA from 1 species
GACAGAGGGUGCAAACGUUGUUCGGAAUUACUGGGCGUAAAGCGAGUGUAGGCGGUUUGGUAAGUCGGAUGUGAAAGCCCCGGGCUCAACCCGGGAAGUGCACUCGAUACUGCCAGGCUAGAGUAUCGGAGAGGUUGGUGGAAUUCUCGGUGUAGAGGUGAAAUUCGUAGAUAUCGAGAGGAACACCGGUGGCGAAGGCGGCCAACUGGACGAAUACUGACGCUGAGACUCGAAAGCCAGGGGAGCGAACGGG